CGCGCAGGCGGUGGUUUAAGUCUGAUGUGAAAGCCCACGGCUCAACCGUGGAGGGUCAUUGGAAACUGGAUCACUUGAGUGCAGGAGAGGAAAGUGGAAUUCCACGUGUAGCGGUGAAAUGCGUAGAGAUGUGGAGGAACACCAGUGGCGAGGCGACUUUCUGGCCUGUAACUGACGCUGAGGCGCGAAAGCGUGGGGAGCAAACA
rnacentral:rRNA from 1 species